GAUGAACGCUGGCGGCGUGCUUAACACAUGCAAGUCGAACGGAAAGGCUCCUGCUUGCAGGGGUACUCGAGUGGCGAACGGGUGAGUAACACGUGGGUGAUCUGCCCUGCACUUCGGGAUAAGCCUAGGAAACUGGGUCUAAUACCGGAUAGGACGAUGGUUUGGAUGCCAUUGUGGAAAGUUUUUUCGGUGUGGGAUGAGCUCGCGGCCUAUCAGCUUGUUGGUGGGGUAAUGGCCUACCAAGGCGUCGACGGGUGGCCGGCCUGAGAGGGUGUACGGCCACAUUGGGACUGAGAUACGGCCCAGACUCCUACGGGAGGCAGCAGUGGGGAAUAUUGCACAAUGGGCGCAAGCCUGAUGCAGCGACGCCGCGUGGGGGAUGACGGCCUUCGGGUUGUAAACUCCUUUCGCUAGGGACGAAGCGCAAGUGACGGUACCUGGAGAAGAAGCACCGGCUAACUACGUG
rnacentral:rRNA from 1 species